rnacentral:rRNA from 1 species
UACAGAGGUCUCAAGCGUUGUUCGGAUUCAUUGGGCGUAAAGGGUGUGUAGGUGGCGCCGUAAGUCGGGGUGUGAAAUUUCGGAGCUUAACUCCGAAACUGCAUUCGAUACUGCCGUGCUUGAGGACUGGAGAGGAGACUGGAAUUUACGGUGUAGCAGUGAAAUGCGUAGAGAUCGUAAGGAAGACCAGUGGCGAAGGCGGGUCUCUGGACAGUUCCUGACACUGAGGCACGAAGGCCAGGGGAGCAAACGGG